rnacentral:rRNA from 1 species
AUACGGAGGGUGCAAGCGUUGUUCGGAAUCACUGGGCGUAAAGCGCGUGUAGGCGGCUUGGCAAGUCGAAUGUGAAAGCCCGGGGCCCAACCCCGGAAUUGCAUUCGAAACUGCUUGGCUAGAGUCUCGGAGAGGAAGGCAGAAUUCCCGGUGUAGGGGUGAAAUCCGUAGAUAUCGGGAGGAAUACCAGUGGCGAAGGCGGCCUUCUGGACGAUGACUGACGCUGAGACGCGAAAGCGUGGGGAGCAAACAGGAUUAGAUACCCCAGUAGUCC